rnacentral:rRNA from 1 species
GAGGAAUGUAUAGCAAUAGCUACUUGCAUCAUAGUAGAUAUGAUGCAAGAUCGACUAUGUUGAAUAAAAUUCUAGGUAGAAUUAUGAUAAUGACAUUGUCUGCCUAUGUGUCUUGACCAAAUUACGUGCCAGCAGUCGCGGUAAUACGUAGAAGACUAGUGUUAUUCAUGUUUAAUCGGUUUAAAGGGUACCUAGACGGUAGAUCAAGCUUUCUAAUAAAGGAAAAGGACUAGUUUACUAGAGUUACUUAUGAGGGGGUAUUAAAGUACUGCUGGUGUAGAGAUGAAAUUCUGUCAUACCUCUUUUCAAAAGAAAAACCAUGGCACAGGUAUAGGCGAAGGCAUCCCCUUAUGUGAUAACUGACGUUGAGGGACGAAGGCUUUGUGUAGCGAACAGGAUUAGAUACCCCAGUAGUCGAAGCAGAAAAUGAUGAAUGUCAUAGAUUAGAUAUAUAAGUUUAUUCUAUAAAUGAAAGUGUAAGCAUUCCACCUCAUGAGUAAUUUGGCAACAUUGGAACUGAAAUCAUUAGACCGUUUCUGAAACCAG